rnacentral:lncRNA from 1 species
UUGUUGAUCACCUGAUCACUGCUCUUCCAUUAGGUCAAAGAGAGAAACAGAAAAGGAGAAAUUUCUUAUGACACCAAAACAUAUUGUGGUAGCAAUCUGGUAACAUAUGAAUGUUGUGGCUUGAAGUGAAGCGAAUCAGUACCGACACUCGUGACUCUUUAUUGUUUUCUAGCUCUUCGUGGCCAGUAGAAGUAAGAAACAUGUAGCAGGUCCACGACAACAGAAUUAAACCAUUCACGGGUGCAUCCAAAACCUGUGGUUCAGAACAAAAAAAAAUUAUGGUUGCAGUCUCUCUCGCGAGUGGACAAAUCGACUUUUAAAACUCGCGUGACCCAUUUUUUAAACACACCUUGAGAGGUAAUAAUAGAU